GGCCAGCUGCGUUAAGCUCCGGUCAGCCGCUAGGCAGGCGCUAAUAGCCGGAGAUAUCCGAAUGGNNNNNNNNNNNNNNNNNNNNNNNNNNNNNNNNNNNNNCUUUUUUCGUGCUUCAUGGUAACCAUGCAUCAGUCUGAUGUUUUGGUUAUCACAGGCACGAAAAAAGGUGCGGGGAGGUCACCUGGUGAACUGAAACAUCUCAUUAACCAGGGAAAAGAAAUCAAUAAGAGAUUCCCCGAGUAGUGGCGAGCGAAAGGGGAACAGCCCAAACCCAGCACCUUUUUUCCUGCUUUAUUGUAACCAUGCAUCAAUGUUCGGCAUGAGUUACACAGGCAUGAAAAAUAGGUGCUGGGGGUUGUAGGACUUCAUACGCUGAUCUUCCUCCUCUAGGCGAACGACCCUGGAACGGGCGGCCAUAGAGGGUGAGAGCCCCGUAGACGAAAGGGGGGGAAGCGGCAGAAGUAUCCUGAGUAAGGUCGGACACGUGAAAUCCGGCCCGAAUCUGGGAGGACCACCUUCCAAGGCUAAAUCAGAUACAGAGAUCUAUAGCGGAUAGUACCGUGAGGGAAAGGUGAAAAGCACCCCGGAAGGGGGAUGAAAUAGUUUCUGAAAUGUGAUGCGUACAAAAAGUCGGAGCCUGGCGCAAGCUGGGUGACGGCGUGCCUUUUGCAUAAUGAGCCAACGACUGUGUUCUCAGUGGCAAGGCUAAGGCAGUCUUUAGCCGGAGCCGGAGCGAAAGCGAGUCCGAAUAGGGCGCUUAGUCGCUGGGACACGACCCGAAACCGGGUGAGCUAUCCAUGAGCAGGAUGAAGGGCGCCGGAAGGCGUCUGGAGGUCCGAACCAUAAUGUAUCGCAAGACAUUGGGAUGACUUGUGGAUGGGAGUGAAAAGCUUACCGAACCCGGAGAUAGCUGGUUUUCCUCGAUAUGUUUUUAGGAACAGCCUCGUUAGAUACAGCGGGGGGUAGAGAUACUGUUUGGAUGCGGGGGUCCUUUGUGACCUACCAAAUCCUGACAAACUCCGAAUACCCGCCUUUCACUGACGGCAGUGAGACGGUGACAGCAAAUUGCCAUCGUCGUGAGGGGAAGAGCCCCGACCAUUGGCUAAGGUCCCUAAUGAAUGCUGAGUGGAAAAGGUAGUGUAGAUGCUUCAACAACCAGGAGGUUGGCUUAGAAGCAGCCAUCCUUUAAAGAAAGCGUAACAGCUCACUGGUCGAUGCAUCUAUGCGCCGAAAAUUUACCGGGGCAAAGCAUUCAACCGAAGCCGUGGAUUCCAGCACCUUUUUUCGUGCCUCUUUAGUAACCAUUCAUCACGCGUGAUCAUUGGUUACCGCGGACGCGAAAAUAGGUGCUGGAGUGGUAGAGGAACGUUCCCUGUGCAUUGAAGCCGAGCCGCGAGGUCAGGUGGAGUGCAGGGAAGUGAGACUGUUGGCAUGAGUAACUACUAGGCAAGUGAAAAACUUGCCCGCCGAAUUCCCAAGGUUUCCCACGCAACGGUCAUCGGCGUGGGGUUAGUCGGUCCUAAGGCCAGGCCGAAAGGCGUAACCGAUGGACAGCAGGUCAAUAUUCCUGCACUUCGUAAAAAUCGACAACGGUGUACGGUUGAUAGUUCUGUCGGCCUCUAAUCUUCACCAUUCUGAACUUACGAAAUUAGCAAUUAGAAGUGAGCAAUUAGAAAUUGCUCAUUGCUAAUUCCUCAUUGCUAAUUUGAUCCGAGUUUAGGAUGGUGAAGAUUAUGUCUACGGAAAAGGAUACCGUACAUUUAGAAGCGGUGUGACGGAGACGGAAGUCCGGAGCGUGUGCAUUGACUGCACGUGGAAGGCGCGAAGCGUUGAGGCCGGGAGGCAAAUCCCCCGGCUGAGCCGAGCGUUUACCCCAAUUACCCGCCGCAAGGCGGAUGAGUCCGAAACUUUCAGCUUCCAAGAAAACCAUCGCUUCGAGAGCUUUACGAAACCGUACCGCAAACCAACACCGGUGGGAUGGUCGAGUAGACCAAGGCGAACGGAUCAUCUUGUGUUAAGGAACUCGGCAAUGAAGCGUCCGUAACUUCGGGAUAAGGACUGACGGUCCCCUCGUGGGAUCGCCUGCAACAAAAGAGCCCGGGCGACUGUUUACCAAAAACACAGGUCCCUGCUAAGUCGCAAGACUAUGUAUAGGGGCUGAUGCCUGGCCAGUGUCAGAAGGUCACGUGAGGAGCUUUACGGCUCCGAUCCAAGCCCUGACGAACGCCGGCCGUAACUAUAACGGUCCUAAGGCCAGGCCGAAAGGCGUAACCGAUGGACAGCAGGUCAAUAUUCCUGCACUUCGUAAAAAUCGACAACGGUGUACGGUUGAUAGUUCUGUCGGCCUCUAAUCUUCACCAUUCUGAACUUACGAAAUUAGCAAUUAGAAGUGAGCAAUUAGAAAUUGCUCAUUGCUAAUUCCUCAUUGCUAAUUUGAUCCGAGUUUAGGAUGGUGAAGAUUAUGUCUACGGAAAAGGAUACCGUACAUUUAGAAGCGGUGUGACGGAGACGGAAGUCCGGAGCGUGUGCAUUGACUGCACGUGGAAGGCGCGAAGCGUUGAGGCCGGGAGGCAAAUCCCCCGGCUGAGCCGAGCGUUUACCCCAAUUACCCGCCGCAAGGCGGAUGAGUCCGAAACUUUCAGCUUCCAAGAAAACCAUCGCUUCGAGAGCUUUACGAAACCGUACCGCAAACCAACACCGGUGGGAUGGUCGAGUAGACCAAGGCGAACGGAUCAUCUUGUGUUAAGGAACUCGGCAAUGAAGCGUCCGUAACUUCGGGAUAAGGACUGACGGUCCCCUCGUGGGAUCGCCUGCAACAAAAGAGCCCGGGCGACUGUUUACCAAAAACACAGGUCCCUGCUAAGUCGCAAGACUAUGUAUAGGGGCUGAUGCCUGGCCAGUGUCAGAAGGUCACGUGAGGAGCUUUA
rnacentral:rRNA from 1 species